rnacentral:rRNA from 1 species
GAUCAUGGCUCAGGAUGAACGCUAGCUACAGGCUUAACACAUGCAAGUCGAGGGGCAGCAUGAACUUAGCUUGCUAAGUUUGAUGGCGACCGGCGCACGGGUGAGUAACACGUAUCCAACCUGCCGAUGACUCGGGGAUAGCCUUUCGAAAGAAAGAUUAAUACCCGAUGGCAUAGUUCUUCCGCAUGGUAGAACUAUUAAAGAAUUUCGGUCAUCGAUGGGGAUGCGUUCCAUUAGGUUGUUGGCGGGGUAACGGCCCACCAAGCCUUCGAUGGAUAGGGGUUCUGAGAGGAAGGUCCCCCACAUUGGAACUGAGACACGGUCCAAACUCCUACGGGAGGCAGCAGUGAGGAAUAUUGGUCAAUGGACGAGAGUCUGAACCAGCCAAGUAGCGUGAAGGAUGUCUGCCCUAUGGGUUGUAAACUUCUUUUAUACGGGAAUAAAGUGAGGCACGUGUGCCUUUUUGUAUGUACCGUAUGAAUAAGGAUCGGCUAACUCCGUG